rnacentral:rRNA from 1 species
AGUGGAGCGACGAACCGGGGCUUGCCCCGGGGCAGAGCCGCGAACGGGUGAGUAACACGUGGGUAACCCACCCCGAUGACCGGGACAACCCGAGGAAACUCGGGCUAAUACCGGAUGUGCUCGCUGUCCAUAAGGACAACGAGUAAAGAUAGCUUCGGCCUUCGCAUCGGGACGGGCCCGCGGCCCAUUAGCUUGUUGGUGGGGUAAUGGCCUACCAAGGCUUCGAUGGGUAGCUGGUCUGAGAGGACGAUCAGCCACACUGGGACUGAGACACGGCCCAGACUCCUACGGGAGGCAGCAGUGGGGAAUCUUGCGCAAUGCGCGAAAGCGUGACGCAGCAACGCCGCGUGGGGGAAGAAGGCCUUCGGGUUGUAAACCCCUUUCAGUUGGGACGAAGCUUCGCCGGUUAAUAGCCGGCCGGAGUGACGGUACCUUCANAAGAAGCCCCGGCUAACUACGUGCCAGCAGCCGCGGUAAUACGUAGGGGGCAAGCGUUGUCCGGAAUCAUUGGGCGUAAAGCGCGUGUAGGCGGUCCGAUAAGUCUGCUGUGAAAGUCGGGGGCUCANCCCUCGGAUGCCGGUGGAUACUGUCGGGCUCGAGUACGGAAGAGGCGAGUGNAAUUCCUGGUGUAGCGGUGAAAUGC